AUGAACUUAAUUUCUGUGCCAGACCAAAGGAGGUGAAAGCCCGAGCAACUGGAUAGGAUGAGGGCUGCAUAUCCUUCGGAUAAAAAAAUCACUGCCUUAAUUUCAGAUAUUGUCACAUGAGGUUUUUUUGGUUUAUUUGACUAGGCCACGUAGAGCAAUCAAGAGGAACAUGAACAUAAUCUAAGCAAGAGCUCAGUCUUUAGGACGCUCUCAUUGUGAAAUCUUUAAUUUCAGGUUACACUUCAUGCAGAGUAGUUGAAGAAAAGAGGACAAUGCCUUUUCGCUAAAAGCAUCCUUAAAAAACAACAACAACAACAACAACAACAACAAACUCAGAAAGGAUACUUCUGACAAGCACAACAUUUGGAGGAGUCUGGAGAGAAGAAGUUGGAAAAAUGAGAUACCCGGGAAGGCGUACUUCAGAGAAAUUUUGAAAGGGACAAAUAGUAGCUACAAAGAGAACCUGCACCCUGCAUACAUUCCAUUUGCUUUCUCAAAAGAAAUGGUGAAGGUCAACAUUUUGUCCAAAAAAAUUUUUUUAAUUUAAAAAUUCUUGCUUUGUAUAGUUACAGAAGUACUGGAUGCUCAUCAAACAAAGCUCAUAUAUUACAGAAGCAUGUGUGAAAUAUCUUGAACUCACAGCCUCAAUCCUGUUUUUAGUCCCAUAAUUACUAGCACU
rnacentral:lncRNA from 1 species